CUUUUUCUUUCUUGUUACUACAAAUAAAAGUGGAAAGAAAUUCUUUAUGCUUUCAUUAAUAUUUAUACAGAUAAAAUUUCGUAGAUCAGAUGUUGGUUUUUGGUUUUUUUUUUUUACACGUAAAAGUCCGGAAAAUAUCAUCCAGUUGACGUCAACUUCAUUAAAAAACUGCAAAGUCAUCCCCCAAACUGACUGAUUCUUUAUUGUCUGUGAUGAGUACCAAGGAACAAAUAUUAGCCUUAUAAUGAAAAUUCAAUCACAUCCUUAACUACUCACAGACUACCACUCUGCUCCACAAGGUACAGGUGAGCAUAAUUGACAAGAUGGAUCGAAUGAUCCAAUAGAUUUAACUUGUGCAAGUUUUUAUGGCAAAGACUUUGUUUCGGCUUAACUCAGUAUCGUACCACAUUUAUCCAUGGAGCUAGAGAAACACUAGGAAAAAAAAAAGAAAGCACAGAUCAACUGAACUUCCCUCCUAGAAAGAAGACACCUUUAUACUAAACAGCAAUAAAAGAACAGAGAGAAGACUGGGACCCAUCACACAGAGAACAUCUUUUAUGUAUGGGGGAAGAUGGGGCUGGAACUUCUUUUGUCUUCAUUUUCAUUGUGUAGACAGUUGGAUCAAUGAAGUUCUCACUUUCACUGUGUUGCCUUACAUGGUACAGAGAAGAAAACAGAAGUCCUGCUGGGACACAAUCAGAGAAACAACUAUAAUUUCAAGAGGCAAGAAAUGAACCAGAAUCUCAGAAAAGCUUCAACUGUCCAGAGUUGUCCAGAGUUUCUGCUGAUCCUUCCUAAAAUAUACACGAGAGCACACUGUAGGGCAAGUCCCUCUGGUUGCCUGCUAAGCUGAAGAGGGGUGUCAAGCAUCACUGCACAUAACAAAACAAUGUGCAGUGCUAGGACAAGCACUGCUGGAACAGAAAGGAGAUCUUUGUACUAUUUUCUCUAACAGUGCUUAGGAACACCUGGUUCUGGAAACUAAACAUCAAUUUGUUUAUGUCAGGUUUGAGGGAACAUAUACCUGAAGUGUUUAUAUGGCCUGUCUAAAUCUUACCCUGACUGCAGUAAUGGCAGGUGUUAUCCUUGUCACAUGAAAUAUUAUCACUAAACUACUUGCUUCUGAAACUCCUCCAACUUUCCAAAUUUUAUUAUAACAAAUUGUAUAUCUAAAAUAUUAUGCCUUUGGUACUCCUUUAUUUCAAGAGGAGCACACAGUUUCCAUAAUAAGAGGAAAGUAGCACAACAGGUUCCAGGACAUUUCAUAAUCAAACCUGCUCUAGAUGUAGCUUACAGAGAUGUAAAGAUUGAGGUUUAGCACCUGCUGGUCAUCAGUCCCCAGAAAACUGAGAAGUGGAUUCUUCGAGGCAUCCAAAGAUUCCCUGCCCUAUUUAUAUCUCAUAUGAGCCACAUACAACCACCUAAUAAAAGCUGAUCACACCCCUGUUUUACA
rnacentral:lncRNA from 1 species